GGUGCUAUAGUGUAGUGGUUAUCACUCGGGAUUUUGAAGUAAUUACUUUGCUUUCCCGAAACCCAGGUUCGAACCCUGGUAGCACCU
rnacentral:tRNA from 1 species